rnacentral:rRNA from 1 species
CGGAGGAUCCAAGCGUUAUCCGGAAUCAUGGGUUUAGAGGGUCCGUAGGCGGUUUGAUAAGUCAGUGGUGAAAGCCCAUCGCUCAACGAUGGAACGGCCAUUGAUACUGUCAGACUUGAAUUACUGGGAAGUAACUAGAAUAUGUAGUGUAGCGGUGAAAUGCUUAGAUAUUACAUGGAAUACCAAUUGCGAAGGCAGGUUACUACCAGUGGAUUGACGCUGAUGGACGAAAGCGUGGGGAGCGAACAGGAUUAGAUACCCUGGUAGUCCACGCCGUAAACGAUGGAUACUAGCUGUUCGGAGCAAUCUGUAGUGGCUAAGCGAAAGUGAUAAGUAUCCCACCUGGGGAGUACGUUCGCAAGAAUG